rnacentral:rRNA from 1 species
GGGGGAUAGCCCGUGGAAACGCGGAUUAAUAUCCCAUAGAUCAGUAAUAUCGCAUGGUAUAACUGGUAAAACUCAGGUGGCAUAAGAUGGGCAUGCGUCUGAUUAGCUAGUUGGUAGGGUAACGGCCUACCAAGGCGACGAUCAGUAGGGGUUCUGAGAGGAUUAACCCCCACACUGGUACUGAGACACGGACCAGACUCCUACGGGAGGCGGCAGUGAGGAAUAUUGGUCAAUGGGCGCAAGCCUGAACCAGCCAUCCCGCGUGAAGGAAGAAGGCCCUACGGGUUGUAAACUUCUUUUCUGUUUGAAGAAUAAGCUCGUCGAGACGAGUGAUGCCGGUAGGACAGGAAUAAGCAUCGGCUAACUCCGUGCCAGCAGCCGCGGUAAUACGGAGGAUGCAAGCGUUAUCCGGAUUUAUUGGGUUUAAAGGGUGCGCAGGUGGUUUAAUAAGUCAGUGGUGAAAGUCUGGCGCUUAACGUUAGGAUUGCCAUUGAUACUGUUAGACUUGAAUAUGGAUGAGGUAGGCGGAAUGUGUAGUGUAGCGGUGAAAUGCUUAGAUAUUACACAGAACACCGAUUGCGAAGGCAGCUUACUAAUCCAUCAUUGACGCUGAGGCACGAAAGCGUGGGGAUCAAACUGGAUUAGAUACCCUGGUAGUCCACGCUGUAAACGAUGAUCACUCGCUGUUUGCGAUAUACAGUAAGCGGCUAAGCGAAAGCGUUAAGUGAUCCACC